rnacentral:tRNA from 1 species
GUGAGCAUAGCUCAGUGGUAGAGCACGUGCUUAGCAUGCACAAGGUCCUGGGUUCAAUCCCCAGUACCUCCA